ACGGAAGGCAGCAGUGGGGAAUAUUGCACAAUGGGGGAAACCCUGAUGCAGCGACGCCGCGUGAGUGAAGAAGUUAUUCGUAAUGUAAAGCUCUAUCAGCAGGGAAGAAAAUGACGGUACCUGACUAAGAAGCCCCGGCUAACUACGUGCCAGCAGCCGCGGUAAUACGUAGGGGGCAAGCGUUAUCCGGAUUUACUGGGUGUAAAGGGAGCGUAGACGGUCUAGCAAGUCUGAUGUGAAAGGCAGGGGCUCAACUCCUGGACUGCAUUGGAAACUGUUAGUCUUGAGUGACGGAGAGGUAAGCGGAAUUCCUAGUGUAGCGGUGAAAUGCGUAGAUAUUAGGAGGAACACCAGUGGCGAAGGCGGCUUACUGGACGAUAACUGACGUUGAGGCUCGAAAGCGUGGGGAGCAAACAGGAUUAGAUACCCUGGUA
rnacentral:rRNA from 1 species